rnacentral:rRNA from 1 species
UACGUAGGGUGCGAGCGUUGUCCGGAAUUAUUGGGCGUAAAGGGCUCGUAGGCGGUUUGUCGCGUCGGGAGUGAAAACCAGGUGCUUAACACCUGGCUUGCUUUCGAUACGGGCAGACUAGAGGUAUUCAGGGGAGAACGGAAUUCCUGGUGUAGCGGUGAAAUGCGCAGAUAUCAGGAGGAACACCGGUGGCGAAGGCGGUUCUCUGGGAAUGGCCUGACGCUGAGGAGCGAAAGUGUGGGGAGCGAACAGG